rnacentral:rRNA from 1 species
UGGGGAAUAUUGGACAAUGGGCGAAAGCCUGAUCCAGCCAUGCCGCGUGUGUGAAGAAGGUCUUCGGAUUGUAAAGCACUUUAAGUUGGGAGGAAGGGCAUUAACCUAAUACGUUAGUGUUUUGACGUUACCGACAGAAUAAGCACCGGCUAACUCUGUGCCAGCAGCCGCGGUAAUACAGAGGGUCCAAGCGUUAAUCGGAAUUACUGGGCGUAAAGCGCGCGUAGGUGGUUUGUUAAGUUGGAUGUGAAAUCCCCGGGCUCAACCUGGGAACUGCAUUCAAAACUGACUGACUAGAGUAUGGUAGAGGGUGGUGGAAUUUCCUGUGUAGCGGUGAAAUGCGUAGAUAUAGGAAGGAACACCAGUGGCGAAGGCGACCACCUGGACUAAUACUGACACUGAGGUGCGAAAGCGUGGGGAGCAAACA